AUUGAACGCUGGCGGCAUGCCUUACACAUGCAAGUCGAACGGCAGCACGGGAGCAAUCCUGGUGGCGAGUGGCGAACGGGUGAGUAAUAUAUCGGAACGUGCCCAGUCGUGGGGGAUAACGUAGCGAAAGCUACGCUAAUACCGCAUACGAUCUACGGAUGAAAGCGGGGGAUCGCAAGACCUCGCGUGAUUGGAGCGGCCGAUAUCUGAUUAGGUAGUUGGUGAGGUAAAGGCUCACCAAGACGACGAUCUGUAGCUGGUCUGAGAGGACGACCAGCCACACUGGGACUGAGACACGGCCCAGACUCCUACGGGAGGCAGCAGUGGGGAAUUUUGGACAAUGGGCGCAAGCCUGAUCCAGCAAUGCCGCGUGCAGGAUGAAGGCCUUCGGGUUGUAAACUGCUUUUGUACGGAACGAAACGGUGAGCUCUAAUACAGUGUGCUAAUGACGGUACCGUAAGAAUAAGCACCGGCUAACUACGUGCCAGCCGCCGCCGUAA
rnacentral:rRNA from 1 species